rnacentral:rRNA from 10 species
AAACGACUCUCGGCAACGGAUAUCUUGGCUCUCGCAUCGAUGAAGAACGUAGCGAAAUGCGAUACUUGGUGUGAAUUGCAGAAUCCCGUGAACCAUCGAGUUUUUGAACGCAAGUUGCGCCCGAAGCCUUUGGCCAGGGCACGUCUGCCUGGGCGUCACGC